rnacentral:rRNA from 1 species
AGGAGAGUUUGAUCCUGGCUCAGGAUGAACGCUAGCUACAGGCUUAACACAUGCAAGUCGAGGGGCAGCAUAUCGAAAGCUUGCUUUUGAUGAUGGCGACCGGCGCACGGGUGAGUAACGCGUAUCCAACCUUCCCUAUACUAGAGGAUAGCCCGGCGAAAGUCGGAUUAAUACUCUAUGUUCUUCGUAGAAGACAUCUGAAAUGAAGCAAAGGUUUACCGGUAUAGGAUGGGGAUGCGUCUGAUUAGGUUGUUGGCGGGGUAACGGCCCACCAAGCCCACGAUCAGUAGGGGUUCUGAGAGGAAGGUCCCCCACAUUGGAACUGAGACACGGUCCAAACUCCUACGGGAGGCAGCAGUGAGGAAUAUUGGUCAAUGGACGAGAGUCUGAACCAGCCAAGUAGCGUGCAGGAUGACGGCCCUAUGGGUUGUAAACUGCUUUUAUACAGGGAUAAAGUUCACUACGUGUAGUGUUUUGUAGGUACUGUAUGAAUAAGGACCGGCUAAUUCCGUGCCAGCAGCCGCGGUAAUACGGAAGGUCCGGGCGUUAUCCGGAUUUAUUGGGUUUAAAGGGAGCGCAGGCUGAUGAUUAAGCGUGACGUGAAAUGUAGCCGCUCAACGGCUGAACUGCGUCGCGAACUGGUUAUCUUGAGUGAGUUCGAUGUUGGCGGAAUUCGUGGUGUAGCGGUGAAAUGCUUAGAUAUCACGAAGAACUCCGAUUGCGAAGGCAGCCAACAAGGCCUUUACUGACGCUAAAGCUCGAAGGUGCGGGUAUCGAACAGGAUUAGAUACCCUGGUAGUCCAGAAUUCGGCUUAUAGUUUGAUCCUGAUACCCUGGUAGUCCCCU